rnacentral:tRNA from 1 species
CGCCGGCUGAGGGGGCGUUCACUCCCUCUCCCAGGGGGAGAGGGAAACGAAGCCGGCGACAUCUGGUGGUGCAACAUCUCCGGCGGCACC